AUUGAACGCUGGCGGCAGGCUUAACACAUGCAAGUCGAGCGAGCGGCGGACGGGUGAGUAAUGUCUGGGAAACUGCCUGAUGGAGGGGGAUAACUACUGGAAACGGUAGCUAAUACCGCAUACCAUCAGAUGUGCCCAGAUGGGAUUAGCUAGUUGGUGGGGUAAAGGCUCACCAAGGCGACGAUCCCUAGCUGGUCUGAGAGGAUGACCAGCCACACUGGAACUUGGAAACGGUCCAGACUCCUCCGUGAGGCAGCAGUGGGGAAUAUUGCAAAAUGGGCGCAAGCCUGAUGCAGCAAGGCCGCGUGUGUGAAGAAGGCCUUCGGGUUGUAAAGCACUUUCAGAGGGGAGGCGUUACUCGCAGAAGAAGCACCGGCUAACUCCGUGCCAGCAGCCGCGGUAAUAC
rnacentral:rRNA from 1 species